rnacentral:rRNA from 1 species
AUUGAACGCUGGCGGAAUGCUUUACACAUGCAAGUCGAGCGGCAGCGCGGGGCAACCUGGCGGCGAGCGGCGAACGGGUGAGUAAUACAUCGGAACGUGCCCAGACGUGGGGGGAUAACUACUCGAAAGAGUGGCUAAUACCGCAUACGAUCUAAGGAUGAAAGCGGGGGAUCGCAAGACCUCGCGCGUUUGGAGCGGCCGAUGGCAGAUUAGGUAGUUGGUGGGGUAAAGGCUUACCAAGCCCGCGAUCUGUAGCUGGUCUGAGAGGAUGAUCAGCCACACUGGGACUGAGACACGGCCCAGACUCCUACGGGAGGCAGCAGUGGGGAAUUUUGGACAAUGGGCGAAAGCCUGAUCCAGCCAUUCCGCGUGCAGGAUGAAGGCCCUCGGGUUGUAAACUGCUUUGUACAGAACGAAAAGACUCUUCUAAUACAGAGAGUCCAUGACGGUACUGUAAGAAUAAGCACCGGCUAACUACGUGCCAGCAGCCGCGGUAA